AAAAAAACAUUUGAGAAGCUGGUUGAGGGGGGCAAUGUUACUCCUACAAAGGAAGUUUAAGCCUCCACAAAUCCCUGAGGAUCUUAAUACUGCUAUUAAGAGUGGAAAAGUCCGAGCUCCAACUCAUAUUAUAUCCACCAUAUCUGAUGACAGAGGCAAAGAGCCAUGAUAUGCUGGUAUCCCAAUGUCUUCCAUUGUUGAACAGGGUUAUGGUGUGGGUGAUGUCAUUUCCCUGUUGUGGUUCAAACGCAGCCUUCUCCGUUACUGCACAAGGUUCAUUGAGAUUUGCGUAAUGUUGUGUGCUGAUCAUAGUCCUUGUGUCUCUGGCGCUCACAACACCAUUGUAACUGCAAGGGCAAGAA